rnacentral:rRNA from 1 species
GAUGAACGCUGGCGGCGUGCCUAAUACAUGCAAGUCGAGCGAACAGACGAGGAGCUUGCUCCUUCGACGUUAGCGGCGGACGGGUGAGUAACACGUAGGUAACCUACCUAUAAGACUGGGAUAACUUCGGGAAACCGGAGCUAGUACCGGAUAAUAUUUCGAACCGCAUGGUUCGAUAGUGAAAGAUGGCUUUGCUAUCACUUAUAGAUGGACCUGCGCCGUAUUAGCUAGUUGGUAAGGUAACGGCUUACCAAGGCAACGAUACGUAGCCGACCUGAGAGGGGGUCGGCCCAACCGGAACCUGGCAACCGGCCCAGCACCCGAGGGGGGGCACAGGGUGGGAAUUUUGCGAAAGGGGGGAAAGCCUGCGGGAGCAGCCGCGGGGGGGUGAAGAAGGUUUUCGGGCGGUAAAACUCUUUUUUUGGGGAAAAACAAAGGUGUAAGUAACUGGGCCGGUUUGACGGGAACCAAAAAAGAAAGCCCGGCUAAACUCGGG